rnacentral:rRNA from 1 species
AUUGAACGCUGGCGGCAGGCCUAACACAUGCAAGUCGAACGGUAACAGGAAGCAGCUUACUGCUUCGCUGACGAGUGGCGGACGGGUGAGUAAUGUCUGGGAAACUGCCUGAUGGAGGGGGAUAACUACUGGAAACGGUAGCUAAUACCGCAUAAUGUCGCAAGACCAAAGAGGGGGACCUUCGGGCCUCUUGCCAUCGGAUGUGCCCAGAUGGGAUUAGCUCGGAGGGGGGGUAACGGCUCACCUAGGCGACGAUCCCUAGCUGGUAUGAGAGGACGACCAGCCACACUGGAAGUGGGACACGGUCCAGACUCCUACGGGAGGCAGCAGUGGGGAAUAUUGCACAAUGGGCGAAAGCCUGAUGCAGCCAUGCCGCGUGUAUGAAGAAGGCCUUCGGGUUGUAAAGUACUUUCAGCGGGGGGGAAGGCGAUAAGGUUAAUAACCUUGUCGAUUGACGUUAUCCGCAGAAGAAGCACCGGCUAACUCCGUGCCAGCAGCCGCGGUAA